UACGUAGGGAGCAAGCGUUGUCCGGAAUCAUUGGGCGUAAAGCGCGCGUAGGUGGCCACAUAAGUCCGUUGUGAAAGUCAAAGGCUCAACCUUUGAAAGCCGAUGGAUACUGUGUGGCUAGAGUACGGAAGAGGCGAGUGGAAUUCCUGGUGUAGCGGUGAAAUGCGCAGAUAUCAGGAGGAACACCAAUUGCGAAGGCAGCUCGCUGGGACGUGACUGACGCUGAGACGCGAAAGCGUGGGGAGCAAACAGG
rnacentral:rRNA from 1 species